CGAAGCGUAGCUUAAACAAAGCAUUUCGCUUACACCGAAAAAAUAUCUGUGAAACUCAGAUCUCUUCGA
rnacentral:tRNA from 1 species